GACGGAGGGAGCAAGCGUUGUUCGGAUUUACUGGGCGUAAAGGGCGUCUAGGCGGAUUGGUCAGUCAGGUGUGAAACCCCCCGGCUCAACCGGGGAUCUGCACUUGAUACUGCCAAUCUUGAGUAUGGAAGAGGAAAGCGGAAUUCCAGGUGUAGCGGUGAAAUGCGUAGAUAUCUGGAAGAACACCGGUGGCGAAGGCGGCUUUCUGGUCCAAUACUGACGCUAAAGCGCGAAAGUGUGGGGAGCAAACAGG
rnacentral:rRNA from 1 species